GCUGUGGGCGCGGGAAAGCCGGUGGCUGGGGGGGGCGUGGCCUCCAGAACCGCACCUGACGGCAGGAGCGCACGGAGCCGAGGGGCAGCUGCAGGGGGCCGCGCACACUCCCGGGGCAGCCUGCUUCCCGCCGGCUUCUGCGGUCUUGCGGGGCCACAAACCCAGAGCUACAAACAAACUGGCCGCAUUCCUGCGCGGUCAGACCUGGCCAGUCUGGACACCGGGAGCCCGGUGUCCGGAAGGCUCCCAGGAGCCAAGCCGUCACCAGCCUUGCAGUCCUGCCCCGCCCCCACCCCACAACAAUGGACGUCUGUGCUGUCCUUCCCGGCCCUCCCCUCCCUCCUUCCUGCCAGGAGCAUCACCUCGAAGGGGGCAGGAGGGCUCCAGGUCAGAGACACCUCGGGGAGACCGCCUCUGUGUGCUGUCAGGACCGACUGGCUGUGCUGUGUAACACACACGCCCAAACCCGGAGGCUCACACAAGUCGCCUGCGGUGGCCUCCGACCCCCACGGGCCUCAUACCUGGCGCCUGGUCUCAGGCAGGCCGCAGGUCCAGUCGGGAAGAGAGAACGCGGAGGAUCAGGAACCAGCUUUUCAGUGUUCGCCCUUGGGUGACACAUGGCCCUUCAGAUGAAGGUCGCGGUGAGGCGCGUGCCUGCUUCCUUUCAAGGGGGCGGGGGAGCAGACGCUGUGUCACAACUGAAGCAGAAAGGUGCGGGGCCCGGGCUGGGGGCUUCGGCCACGGAGGAGCACGCUCUGACCCUAGAAGGCACGGCGCGGGCGGCAGCUUGCAGUGGUUAAGGAGCCGCGGCGGUAUUUGGGGCGGACGCUCAUACUGCCCCACAGACGAGGACCCUGAAGCAGGGCGAGACCCCUCGGCCUCGACCAGAUUCGAUGCCUGGGCUUCCUUUGUGAUGGAGACGGUGGAGGAGCUGGGGAUGUGGGCGGGUGGGGAGAGCUGGGCUCUGGGCCUGGUGACAUCUGGUCAGUGAGGUUGGCUGGAGGCAGCAAGGACACACAAAGGAGGGCAGGAGGGUGAGAGCCAGCAGAGGAGUAACUCCGUUCGUGCGACUGGAUAACAUUUCUCAGAUUCUUCCUUUUUAAAAGUGAAGCGGAAUGCAAUUGAUUUUAUUUUUAUAGGCAAGAAAUGUGCACGGCUCCGAGGACCCCAGAGUACCACCUGGUGCUCAGCGAGACGCACAGGUCAGGGUCCAUCCCUGAUCCUAACCACAGACUCAGCUUUUGCCAAGUCCUCCUGGUCCUGCGGGUGUUGGUCCCAUCAGGAAUGAGUUUGGACAGCAAGAAAGAGGCCGGCCUUUUUUUCCGUGAGCUCGGUGACUCUUGUCCCGUGCAGGAUCUGUUCACACCACACUCGUCCCUCUGGCCCAUCACCUGCACCCAGCCUGGGCUGGUCCAGGCUCAGCUUCCGUGUCUCUGGAGCCUGGCCCAGGAUGAGGGAGCCAAGCCUCUUUCACCAUCCGUCCAUCCAAGUGGCAGUGGCCUCCUAAGUGUAAGCCAGUGACAUCCAGCUGCAUCUGGAAACUCAGCCCCGGGACAAAGUCCAGAUCCCCUCAGAGGACCCAGCAGAGGACCCGCCAGCCGGCAGGGCUCCCCGUUUCUCCUGGACACUCUUCCCUCCGCCGCCGACCCUGCCUCCCUACGUCUCCCUCCACCCAGUCAGCGCCUUCCUAUUUCCACCGCGGUUGAGUGAAUACGGUCCCCACAGCCACAUCUAGAGAUGAUGCAGCAGGGAGCGUCUGUGGAGUUCCACAGAGUGAGCGAGUCAGCUUAGACGUCUCCAAAUACAGAGGUGGGGACAGCGAUGCCAGGACCCCUACCUCGGUGUGCCCGCAAGCUGUGGGCCUGGAGCUCUGAGAAGAAGCCCUGGCACCUCGCAGGGAAGAAGGCGGACCUGAGCGGGCGGCCUGAACUAAAAUGCAUCCAAGUUAGUUGCACCUGUUUCCUUUCAUGCUUUUACCUGGCUACCAGGACGCUCACAAUGGCACACGGGCUCACGCUGCAUUUCCGCUGGACAGCACCCAGCUGGGCCCACAGGGGCGUUGGUGGGCUUGCUGAAAAAGGGCCAAGGAUGCGGAGAGAAGCCCCGGACCCCCUCGGUCCCCACCGCACACAGGCCGGCGCUGAGGCGGAGGACAGGCCUCCCCUGUGACGCCGCUGCAGCCCCGGCUUGUGUGUCCCAUCGGGAGAAUCAGGAUGGACAGCCCUGUGGCCGCGGGCCUCCAGCCCAGCCUGUCGGGGCUCGUGGUCGGGUGUGUGUCCCCCCUGCCAGACCGCAGGACGGACAGCCAGGGAACACAAGACCGCCGCCCACAGACAGUGGAGAAGGGAUCCAAGGGGGAGGGGGCAGGGGAAGGGCCGGCCCACCACAGCCCACCAACCCCUUCGCCCUCGCGAUGCUUCUCACGCUGUCAGCCUGGCGGCCUCCUGGAGGAAGCGGGGCCACCCUGUACCCUGAGACCCCACCAGCGCUGCGGCCUGGACCCUCCUAGACCGG